CGGAAGCUUUUAGUUUGUAAAUCAUAAGACGAUAAAUCAGACGACACAUGAAAAAUUAAACUAAAAAUAUAUUAUUGGAUAUGGUUUGACCAAACGGCCUACAUAUUAAAAAUAAAAUUAAAAAACCUAAAAUUUAUUGGGAGAAAUUUCCCCCAGACUCUUUAAAGACUACAUUGUGGAUGCUAUUGUGUUAUGGGAUUACAUUGUGUAUGUUAUUGUGUUAUGGUAUGAGAAGGGGUCUUCUAUUUAUAGAUAUCCAAAACCUUUCCUCCAAGAAAGAGGUUAGCCAAAUAUGAAAAAGAAUUAUAUUUUUUCUUUCAGAAAAAGUAAAAGUAAUUAUGGUAACUUUUAUUUUCCUUCUAAGAAAAAAUAAAACUUAAAUAUAGUAAGAAAAUCACGACAAAAACCCUAACAAAUCUCCCUUUUUAGCUUGAUUUUCUUCACUUGAUCCGUCUUCUCUUCAUAUCGCGUGCAUGAACUUCGUUCUUGAUAUAAUCUUCAUAACUGCUGCUUGUCAUGGUUAAAAAUAAGGUUUAAAAUAUCAUAGUUAAAAAUUGGUUUAAAAGUAAUUAUUUAUUUUUAUUUUUAAAGAUGCAGCAGCAGAAGUGUUGAAAAUAUGGUUGAAACUUGUUCUCCACGUGUAGUUUGAUAAAAAUCUUCAUUAUCAUCCAAAUUGUUGCAGCUUAAUUUUGAAACCGCUUUGAAACUGUUUAAUCUCGUCUCACCACACCAUUGGACCAUUGAACUGUAAGCUUUGAUACCACUUGGUGGGUUCGAAAUCGAGAGGGCGUCAUGCGGAAGCUUUUAGUUUGCAAACCAUAAGACGAUAAAUCAGACGACACAUGAAAAAUUAAACUAAAAAUAUAUUAUUGGAUAUGAUUUAAUUUGACCAAACGGCCUACAUAUUAAAAAUAAAAUUGAAAAACCUAAAACUUAUUGGGAGAAAUCUCUCCCUAAACAAAGACUCUUUAAAGAUUACAUUGUGG
rnacentral:lncRNA from 1 species